UUCUUUUUGUUUUUUAAUUUCUUUAUAACAAUUUGUGACUUAUCUGGAUUUUCCAUUAACAUUUUGCAUGUUGAGGUACACAGUGUUUUAAGUCUGGUGAUUCUCCUGUGCUGAAACUAAAUUUCUAAAUUAUAUCAUACAUGGGAACUGUAGCCAAAAGUUAAAAAUCUGGCAGUUAAAAACUUGAAUUCAGUACAGGUUUUCUAAUGUUCCUUGGAAUCACUCAAUAUGACCUUUUGUUGGGUGAGCGUCUCACUCUCUGUUUUGUAAUUCCUAGGGGUUUCAAAGUUGGAAGGCAGAGAAAUACAGAACUGAUGAUACAACUUUAUUUGGAAAAGGCCUCGAUCUGCCGCAGGACAUCCAGACCUUCCGUGACCUCCCCGAACACCACGUGCUUGCCAUCCAGCCAAUCCAUCUUGUCACACGUCAGGAAGAACUGGGAGCCAUUGGUGUUGGGGCCAGAGCUGGCCAUGGAGAGCAGGCCUGCUGUCAGGGCAACAACGUCUAAACGCAGCAGCAUGUGGAUGCGGCCGCCGGCUUGUUCCCGAUCUUGA
rnacentral:lncRNA from 1 species